AUAGCAUCAAUGAUGAUGAUAUAUACAACUUUGUUAUCCUUGCACUUUGAUUCAUAAAAUGAAGAAAAUUAUGGGGAAAGUAACUCUGAGAUGCUU